rnacentral:rRNA from 1 species
GCUCAGGACGAACGCUGGCGGCGUGCCUAAUACAUGCAAGUCGAGCGGACAGAAGGGAGCUUGCUCCCGGAUGUUAGCGGCGGACGGGUGAGUAACACGUGGUAACCUGCCUGUAAGACUGGGAUAACUCCGGGAAACCGGAGCUAAUACCGGAUAGUUCCUUGAACCGCAUGGUUCAAGGAUGAAAGACGGUUUCGGCUGUCACUUACAGAUGGACCCGCGGCGCAUAGCUAGUUGGUGGGGUAAUGGCUCACCAAGGCGACGAUGCGUAGCCGACCUGAGAGGGUGAUCGGCCACACUGGGACUGAGACACGGCCCAGACUCCUACGGGAGGCAGCAGUAGGGAAUCUUCCGAAUGGACGAAAGUCUGACGGAGCAACGCCGCGUGAGUGAUGAAGGUUUUCGGAUCGUAAAGCUCUGUUGUUAGGGAAGAACAAGUGCGAGAGUAACUGCUCGCACCUUGACGGUACCUAACCAGAAACCACGGCUAACUACGUGCCAGCAGCCGCGGUAAUACGUAGGUGGCAAGCGUUGUCCGGAAUUAUUGGGCGUAAAGGGCUCGCAGGCGGUUUCUUAAGUCUGAUGUGAAAGCCCCCGGCUCAACCGGGAGGGUCAUUGGAAACUGGGAAACUUGAGUGCAGAAGAGGAGAGUGGAAUUCCACGUGUAGCGGUGAAAUGCGUAGAGAUGUGGAGGAACACCAGUGGCGAAGGCGACUCUCUGGUCUGUACUGACGCGAGGAGCGAAAGCGUGGGGAGCGAACAGCGUAUUAGAUACCCUGGUAGUCCACGCCGUAAACGAUGAGUGCUAAGUGUUAGGGGGUUUCCGCCCCUUAGUGCUGCAGCUAACGCAUUAAGCACUCCGCUGGGGAGUACGGUCGCAAGACUGAAACUCAAAGGAAUUGACGGGGGCCCGCACAAGCGGUGGAGCAUGUGGUUUAAUUCGAAGCAACGCGAAGAACCUUACCAGGUCUUGACAUCCUCUGACAACCUAGAGAUAGGGCUUUCCCUUCGGGGACAGAGUGACAGGUGGUGCAUGGUUGUCGUCAGCUCGUGUCGUGAGAUGUUGGGUUAAGUCCCGCAACGAGCGCAACCCUUGAUCUUAGUUGCCAGCAUUCA